AUUGAACGCUGGCGGCAGGCCUGACACAUGCAAGUCGAGCGGAUGAGUGGAGCUUGCUCCAUGAUUCAGCGGCGGACGGGUGAGUAAUGCCUAGGAAUCUGCCUGGUAGUGGGGGACAACGUUUCGAAAGGAACGCUAAUACCGCAUACGUCCUACGGGAGAAAGCAGGGGACCUUCGGGCCUUGCGCUAUCAGAUGAGCCUAGGUCGGAUUAGCUAGUAGGUGAGGUAGUGGCUCACCUAGGCGACGAUCCGUAACUGGUCUGAGAGGAUGAUCAGUCACACUGGAACUGAGACACGGUCCAGACUCCUACGGGAGGCAGCAGUGGGGAAUAUUGGACAAUGGGCGAAAGCCUGAUCCAGCCAUGCCGCGUGUGUGAAGAAGGUCUUCGGAUUGUAAAGCACUUUAAGUUGGGAGGAAGGGCAGUAAGUUACUACCUUGCUGUUUUGACGUUACCAACAGAAUAAGCACCGGCUAACUUCGUGCCAGCAGCCGCGGUAACAC
rnacentral:rRNA from 1 species